rnacentral:tRNA from 1 species
UCGCUCGAAAGCUCAGCUUGGUCAGAGCGUUGGACUCAUAAUCCAGAGGCCGCGGGUUCGAAACAGCCGCGAGAA